CCGGAGCGCGCCGGGAAACGCGGGGGAGCCCCAAAUUCCUGCGUUUCCAACGGAGGGAACCCCAAAAUUCCUGGGUUAGGGCACAGGCAACUCAAAAAUGCACGUUUUGAGGCGCCGGCAAGGGCAAAAAUGAGUAUUUUUAAGACGCGGGUAACCCGAAAGUUGGUGGUUUAAAACACGGGGAACCCCAAAAUUCCCGGGUUUAAACACAGGUAGCCCCAAAAUUGAUGGUUUAAAACACAUGUAACCCCAAAAUUUAUAUUCUAAGACACAGGUAACCCCAAAAUUGAUGUUUUAAAACACAUGUAACCCCAAAAUUCACAGUUUUUAACACAGGGAACCCCAAAAUUCACGGUUUAAAACACAGGGAACCCCAAAAUUUAUAUUCUAAGACACAGGUAACCCCAAAAUUCAAGUUUUUAAACAGAAGGAACCCCAAAAUUCAUGUCUUUAAACACAGAGAACUCCAAAAUUCAUGGUUUAAAACACAGUGAACCCCAAAAUGCCCAGUUUUAAACACAGGUAACCCCAAAAUUCAUGGUUUAAAACACAUGUAACCCCAAAAUUGAUGUUUUAAAACACAGGGAACCCCAAAAUUCACAGUUUUAAACACAGGUAACCCCAAAUUUGAUGUUUUAAAACACAGGGAACCCCAAAAUUCCUGGUUUAAAACACAGGUAACCCCAAAAUUCACAUUUUUAAGACACAGGUAACCCCAAAAUUGAUAUUUUAA